GGGGUCACCAGGUGUCACCAUGGGAUCACCAGGAGUCACCACGGGAUCACCAGGAGUCACCAUGGGGUCACCAGGAGUCACCAUGGGAUCACCAGGGGUCAUCAUGACAGCACCAGGAGGUCACCAGGGGAUCACCAGGAGUCACCAUGGGAUCACCAGGAAUCACCAUGGGAUCACCAGGAUCUCACUAUGGGAUCACCAGGAGUCACCAUGGCAGCACUGGGAGUCACCAUGGCAGCACCAUAAGGUCACCAUGGGAUCACCAGGAUCUCAUUCACCAUGGGAUCACCAUCAUCUCACCAUGGGAUCACUAGGAUGUCACCAUGGGAUCACCAGGAGUCACCAUGGCAGCACUGGGAGUCACCAGGGGGUCACCAGGAGUCACCAUGGGAUCACCAGGAUGUCACCAUGGGAUCACCAGGAUGUCACUAUGGGAUCACCAGGAU
rnacentral:lncRNA from 1 species